AACGCGUGAGCAACCUACCCAUAUCAGGGGGAUAGCCUCUCGAAAGAGAGAUUAACACCGCAUAACAUCAUUUACCGGCAUCGGUUGAUGAUCAAAUAUUUAUAGGAUAUGGAUGGGCUCGCGUGACAUUAGCUAGUUGGAGGGGUAACGGCCCACCAAGGCUACGAUGUCUAGGGGCUCUGAGAGGAGAAUCCCCCACACUGGUACUGAGACACGGACCAGACUCCUACGGGAGGCAGCAGUAAGGAAUAUUGGUCAAUGGAGGGAACUCUGAACCAGCCAUGCCGCGUGCAGGAUGACUGCCCUAUGGGUUGUAAACUGCUUUUGUCAGGGAAUAAACCUUUCCACGUGUGGGAAGCUGAAUGUACCUGAAGAAUAAGGAUCGGCUAACUCCGUGCCAGCAGCCGCGGUAAUACGGAGGAUCCAAGCGUUAUCCGGAUUUAUUGGGUUUAAAGGGUGCGUAGGCGGUCCUAUAAGUCAGUGGUGAAAGACGGCAGCUUAACUGUCGCAGUGCCUUUGAUACUGUAGGACUUGAAUCUAUUUGAAGUGGGCGGAAUAAGACAAGUAGCGGUGAAAUGCAUAGAUAUGUCUUAGAACUCCGAUUGCGAAGGCAGCUCACUAAGUUAGUAUUGACGCUGAUGCACGAAAGCGUGGGGAUCAAACAGGAUUAGAUACCCUGGUAGUCCACGCCCUAAACGAUGAUAACUCGAUGUUUGCGAUACACAGUAAGCGUCCAAGCGAAAGCGUUAAGUUAUCCACCUGGGGAGUACGGUCGCAAGAUUGAAACUCAAAGGAAUUGACGGGGGCCCGCACAAGCGGAGGAGCAUGUGGUUUAAUUCGAUGAUACGCGAGGAACCUUACCCGGGCUUGAAAGUUAGUGAAUGAUCCAGAGACGGAUCAGUCCUUCGGGACACGAAACUAGGUGCUGCAUGGCUGUCGUCAGCUCGUGCCGUGAGGUGUUGGGUUAAGUCCCGCAACGAGCGCAACCCCUAUGUUUAGUUGCCAGCACAUUAAGGUGGGGACUCUAAACAGACUGCCAGCGUAAGCUGUGAGGAAGGUGGGGACGACGUCAAGUCAUCAUGGCCCUUACGUCCGGGGCUACACACGUGCUACAAUGGAUGGUACAGCGGGCAGCUACAUAGCAAUAUGAUGCUAAUCUCUAAAAGCCAUUCACAGUUCGGAUUGAGGUCUGCAACUCGACCUCAUGAAGUUGGAUUCGCUAGUAAUCGCGUAUCAGCAAUGACGCGGU
rnacentral:rRNA from 1 species